rnacentral:lncRNA from 1 species
UUCUUUCCAGCUCCUUUUUCUCUUCUACACUAAGAUUUUCAAGAGCUCAGGAAAAUGCACCUGUUUUAUUCACUUCUGGAUUCUUACCAUUGGCAGAGUGCCUGGCCCAUAGUUGGGUUCCAAUAAAUAUUUGUUUUUAUGACUAACAAAUCCAUGUAAUCUCUGUGACCAGCUAAGUUCUCUUCUCAGCUUUAUUCUGUUUUGCCGGCAACAAAAUGUAGGAAAAAUUGUUAUAGAGUUGUAUCAGUCUGCUAAUUAACAAAAAUAUGCUAUUUUUCAGGAGUUUGUAAUGUUAGUGGUAUCUGCCACUUUAACAAAUUGUAGUUUAUGAGUUAUUUUCAUAUUCU